rnacentral:rRNA from 1 species
CUGGGCGUAAAGCGUGCGCAGGCGGAUUGUUAAGCAAGACGUGAAAGCCCCGGGCUUAACCUGGGAGUGGCGUUUUGAACUGGCAGUCUAGAGUGCGUCAGAGGGGGGUGGAAUUCCACGUGUAGCAGUGAAAUGCGUAGAGAUGUGGAUGAACACCAAUGGCGAAGGCAGCCCCCUGGGAUGACACUGACGCUCAUGCACGAAAGCGUGGGUAGCAAACAGGAUUAGAUACCCUGGUAGUCCACGCCCUAAACGAUGUCAACUGGUUGUUGGGGGAGUGAAAUCCCUUAGUAACGAAGCUAACGCGUGAAGUUGACCGCCUGGGGAGUACGGUCGCAAGAUUAAAACUCAAAGGAAUUGACGGGGACCCGCACAAGCGGUGGAUGAUGUGGAUUAAUUCGAUGCAACGCGAAAAACCUUACCUACCCUUGACAUGUCCAGGAUCCUGCAGAGAUGCGGGAGUGCCCGAAAGGGAAUUGGAACACAGGUGCUGCAUGGCUGUCGUCAGCUCGUGUCGUGAGAUGUUGGGUUAAGUCCCGCAACGAGCGCAACCCUUAUCAUUAGUUGCUACGCAGGGCACUCUAAUGAGACUGCCGGUGACAAACCGGAGGAAGGUGGGGAUGACGUCAAGUCCUCAUGGCCCUUAUGGGUAGGGCUUCACACGUCAUACAAUGGUCGGUACAGAGGGUUGCCAAGCCGCGAGGUGGAGCCAAUCCCAGAAAGCCGAUCGUAGUCCGGAUUGUUCUCUGCAACUCGAGAGCAUGAAGUCG